AGUGGAAUAAAUGGGUCAAAUGGUGGUUCCAUUCCAAGUUUUCUGAGGAAUCUCCAUACUACUUUCCAGAGUGGUUGUUCCAAUUUGCAGUCCCACCAGAAAU
rnacentral:pre_miRNA from 1 species